rnacentral:rRNA from 1 species
CGUGUAGGCGGUUUGGUAAGUCAGGUGUGAAAGCCCUGGGCUUAACUCAGGAAGUGCACUUGAAACUACCUCACUUGAGUAUGGGAGAGGAGAGUGGAAUUCCCAGUGUAGAGGUGAAAUUCGUAGAUAUUGGGAGGAACACCCGUGGCGAAGGCGACUCUCUGGACCAAUACUGACGCUGAGACGCGAAAGCGUGGGGAGCAAACAGGAUUAGAUACCCUGGUAGUCC